rnacentral:ncRNA from 1 species
AAUAAAAAGAGUUUGAUCCUGGCUCCGAAUGAAUGCUUUUGGUUGAUCUUACACAUGCAAGUUAUUAAAUUAAUAGCGAACGGGUGAGUAAUAUAUAAAAAUAAUUUUUUAAUAAAAAAAUAGUUUAUAUGAGAUUAAGUUGUAAUUAGAUUAAAAUUUACUAAUUAGCUUAUGAUCUCUAGCUGUUCUUUGAGGAUGAUCAGCCACACUGGAAUUGAAAAAUGGUCCAGACUAAAUUUAGGCAGCAGUGAAGAAUAUUGGACAAUGAGUGUAAACUUGAUCCAGUUAAACCAAUUAUGUGAUGAAGAUUUUUUAUUGUAAAACAUAAAAUUAAAAAAAUAAUGCUUUUUUAAUAUUUUAGUCCUGGCUAAUUUCGUGCCAGCAGCCGCGGUAAAACGAGAAGGGCAAGUGUUAUUCAAAUUUAUUGGGCGUAAAGAAUUAUUAGGUAGUAAAUUAAUGUUAAAUUUUUUUAAUUAAAAAUUAGGAAGUUUAUUUUUAUAAAUUAAUUAUUAAAUCAAUUUACUUGAGUUUAAAAAAAAGAUUUUAGAAUUUUGAGUGUAACAGUAAAAUGUAUUGAUAUUUAAAAGAAUUUCUAUGGUGAACACAAAAAUCUAUUUUAAAACUGACACUUUUUAAUUAAAGUAUAGGUAGCAAAAGGGAUUAGAUACCCCUGUAGUCUAUACCCUGAACUAUGAAUGUUGAUUAUUUAUUUCUAAUUAAAUAAAUAAUUUAGAUUAACGUAAAACAUUUCGCCUGGGAACUACGAUCGCAAGUUUAAAACUCAAAGGAAUUGACGGGAAUUCAAACAAGCAGUGGAGCAUGUGGUUUAAAUCGACAAUACGCGCGAAACCUUACCAAUUUUUGUUAUCAGGUGUUGCAUGGCUGUCGUCAGUCCGUGCUUUGAAGUGUUUGGUUUAUUCCAAUAAACGGACGUAACUUUUAUAUGUUAUAAAACUUUUUUACAUAACUUAUUAAGGAUAUCUUUUUAAAAUAAAAACGAUGACAAGUCUUCAUGACCCUUAUAAAUUGGGCUACUUUCAUGUGCUACAAUGUUCUUUACAGAAAAAACUAAAAAAGUAAGUUUUUCGAUUUUUAAAAAAGAAUAAUACGAAUUAUUUUCUGAAAUUUGAGAAUAUAAAGUUGGAAUUGCUAGUAAUCGUUUACAAGAAUGUUACGGUGAAUUUGUUCUUGAAUUUUGUACACACCGCCCGUCACACUAUGGGAAUCAAAUUUACUUGAAAAAUUUAUUUUAAAAAUUUUAGAGUAAAAAGAAGACUGGAGUGAAGUCGUAACAAGGUAGCCGUAGGGGAACCUGUGGCUGGAAUAUAAAAAUU